rnacentral:rRNA from 1 species
GUGUCAGCAGCCGCGGUAAAACGUAGGAGGCAAGCGUUAUCCGGAGUAACUGGGCGUAAAGGGCGGGUAGGUGGUUGUGUAAGUUGGUUAUGAAAGCUCCUGGCUAAACUGGGAGAGGUUGACCAAGACUGCAGAACUUGAGUGGAGAAGAGGUAAACGGAAUUCCGCGUGUAGUGGUGAAAUGCGUAGAGAUGCGGAAGAACACCAGUGGCGAAGGCGGUUUACUGGUCUCCAACUGACACUGAGCCGCGAAAGCAUGGGUAGCGAACGGGAUUAGAUACCCGUGUAGUCC